rnacentral:snRNA from 1 species
AUUCUUACGUAGAGGUAUUCUUUUCAAGCGAUAACUGAUGAAAAGAGCUUUUGCAUUUUGAAAACUUUAAUUUAGAUAAUUUUUUAAAAUC